UCUGAAUCUGCGAACGGCUCCGCAUACCAGUUGUAAACCAUAGCGAGCAAACCGUGACGGCGUCGCAAGGCGUCGUCGCGGUUAAUAAGGAUAACCCUGGUAAUUCUGAGGCUAAUACAAGAACGUACAACCCACCCGACCCGCAAGGGAAGGGGGGGGAAUGUGUGACCAGGCACGCAAAUUCGAAACUGGGAGUGGCCACACGUUCAGACCGCCAUACCAAACAGUUGUUCGCUUCGAAAGUCCUCGUGACGAGUAACGGCGGGUUUCUGGGCGGCUCUCGCUGUGUGCUUCUGACCUAUCAACUAGAUGGCAGCGUAACGGACAUGCUAUGGU
rnacentral:rRNA from 1 species